UGGGGAAUCUUGCGCAAUGGGCGAAAGCCUGACGCAGCAACGCCGCGUGAGCGAAGACGGCCUUCGGGUUGUAAAGCUCUGUCAGGAGGGACGAAGCCACUCAGGUGAAUAGCCGAGAGGGUGACGGUACCUCCAGAGGAAGCCCCGGCUAACUACGUGCCAGCAGCCGCGGUAAUACGUAGGGGGCAAGCGUUGUUCGGAAUUACUGGGCGUAAAGCGCGUGUAGGCGGCCUUGCAAGCCAGACGUGAAAGCCCUCGGCUUAACCGGGGAAGUGCGUCUGGAACUGCUCGGCUCGAGUACGGGAGAGGGAGGCGGAAUUCCCAGUGUAGAGGUGAAAUUCGUAGAUAUUGGGAGGAACACCGGUGGCGAAAGCGGCCUCCUGGACCGACACUGACGCUGAGACGCGAAAGCGUGGGGAGCAAACAGGAUUAGAUACCCUGGUAGUCCACGCUGUAAACGAUGGGCACUAGGUGUGGGGGGUAUCCACUCCUCCCGUGCCGCAGCUAACGCACUAAGUGCCCCGCCUGGGGAGUACGGCCGCAAGGUUA
rnacentral:rRNA from 1 species